AACCACCUCUAAAGCAGUGGUACAAUACAAAAUAUAAAUAACGACUAGCAAGCGGCGAAGUUGGUGAAAUUCCAACACUGUCGCGCAACUGUGAAAUUAGCAGUUAGCAGUUAGCAAUUAGCAAUUAGCCAAAAGGCUAAACGCUAAUUGCCAAAAGCUAAUGGUUAAGAAGUCAGGUCGCCCGCUACUGGUUUGUUCACCAC
rnacentral:ncRNA from 2 species